CCUACGGGAGGCUGCAGUGAGGAAUAUUGGUCAAUGGUCGCAAGACUGAACCAGCCAUGCCGCGUGCCGGAAGACGGCUCUAUGUGUUGUAAACUGCUUUUGUAAGCGGAUAAACGCUGCUACGCGUCUCUGUCUGAAAGUAUCGUACGAAUAAGGAUCGGCUAACUCCGUGCCAGCAGCCGCGGUAAUACGGAGGAUUCGAGCGUUAUCCGGAUUUAUUGGGUUUAAAGGGUGCGUAGGCGGUCGGAUAAGUUAGAGGGGAAAUCCCGAGGCUCAACUUCGGAAUUGCCUCUGAUACUGGUCGGCUAGAGAGGAGGAGCGGUAGGCGGAAUGUAGGGUGUAGCGGUGAAAUGCAUAGAGAUCACACAGAACACCGAUUGCGAAGGCAGCAUACCAAGCUACUUCUGACGUUGAGGCACGAAAGCGUGGGUAGCAAACAGGAUUAGAUACCCCGGUAGUC
rnacentral:rRNA from 1 species